CGUGACAGUGUUGUCAACCUUUGCAUGGCAUGGGACCUUUCGCUUCCAAAUCUAAACAACAUGAAGUGGCUCCAUGACAAGCUACUCAUACAUGCAGUUCUGGAUCGAUCAGCAAAACAAGUGAAGCAGUUAUGGAAGGGACUGAAGGAGACUGGCAUUUGGCCUCUUCUCUGCUAUAGAGCAAAUGUAGUGAAACUGCUUUUCCCUUGUGAGAAAGAUGCAGAGAUCACACCCCAGAUGAUUCUUGCACACAUCAUAUGGCCCAAGCUGAAAUCAGAUUUUGACUGUGAUGAUGAAGAUGAUGCCUCUGUAGAG